GGAAUGUACUGUGGCUUAUCUCGAGACCAAUGCUGUUUCCCAGUCAUCAUUCCACUGUGAUGCUGUGUUGCAGGACCAAGGUUUUGUGAAGAACAUCAGCUGUGAGACUGAGAUUCCAGCUAACUGGAUGGCGAGGCAAACUCACUAAUUGAAGAUGGGUUCCUUGUCCCUUCCUUGCUCCCCUCCCUUUCUUUUUCUUCUUCUAUCUUUUUCUUUUGUGCAGACUCUAUUAUUUUAUAUAUUUUUUUACUUGUUUUGAUUAUUGUGAUGAAGGCCUUUA